GACUGCAGCACUUUACCUGGGUCUGUUUAACUCAUCUCAUAUCUCUGAUUUACACACUGCUCUUUUCAUUUCACACAAACACACUGCAAGCUGCUCUCUGACUAAAAGAACUUCUUCUGGCUGAUGCUGAGGUUUAAACGCACAGAGCAUCACCAUGGAAACCGUGUCAGUCGUGCUCUUCCUGCUAUCAGCUUUUACUCCUCCAGUCCAGAACCAACUCACUUCACUCCAUAUCAUUCCGGGUCUCAUGAAUCAGACUGAGGCUCGGAAAGCUUGCAGAGAAAAUUACACCGACCUCGUCACUGUGUACUCUGAUGAAGACAACACUAAACUGGCUGAACUGGUGAUAAAGGCUGGUAUGGUUUCUGCCUGGAUCGGACUCUAUCGCAGUCACUUCAGUGAGAAAUGGUCUAAUGGUGAUCCUGUAACAUUCAGAUAUCUGACAAUGGAUUGUGGGAUAUCAAGCUACUGUGCCAUUAUGAUGGCUGAUGGUUCAUGGGAAAGUAUUCAGUGCACAGUGACAAGA